ACCGAGAAGAUGCGGCCUACAUGAACAUCAUUUAGGCGGCCAGCAUCAUUCGACUACCCAACCGGCUUCUACUACCCUGCUGCUCUCAACACAGCACGGAGUUUUACCCUUUAGAUUUUUGGCUGUUCGCGAUGUGUGUUGGUGUUUCCUUGGACGAGAUUAUGAUUUAGCGAGAAGAAUGUUGCGUUCUAACCUUCAGGUUCCUAAAUAUGAAAAGUAAUGUUCUUUCAAGAAAGUCAACGAGGUCCCUUACUCCCUUGUUUGCUAACCCAAUGGCUGCUACCCUUGAAUCUCCCUAUUUAGCUCCUUACACAGUCCCGAGGGAAUCCUUCGCUACUGAUCAUGGACUCCAUUGGUGAAACU